rnacentral:rRNA from 1 species
AGUGAACGCUGGCGGUAGGCCUAACACAUGCAAGUCGAACGGCAGCACAGUAAGAGCUUGCUCUUACGGGUGGCGAGUGGCGGACGGGUGAGGAAUACAUCGGAAUCUACUUUUUCGUGGGGGAUAACGUAGGGAAACUUACGCUAAUACCGCAUACGACCUACGAGUGAAAGCAGGGGAUCUUCGGACCUUGCGCGAAUGAAUGAGCCGAUGUCGGAUUAGCUAGUUGGCGGGGUAAAGGCCCACCAAGGCGACGAUCCGUAGCUGGUCUGAGAGGAUGAUCAGCCACACUGGAACUGAGACACGGUCCAGCCUCCUACGGGAGGCAGCAGUGGGGAAUAUUGGACAAUGGGCGCAAGCCUGAUCCAGCCAUACCGCGUGGGUGAAGAAGGCCUUCGGGUUGUAAAGCCCUUUUGUUGGGAAAGAAAAGCAGCAGGUUAAUACCCCGCUGUUCUGACGGUACCCAAAGAAUAAGCACCGGCUAACUUCGUG